UACCGUCCCGGCACCGUGGCGCUGCGC
rnacentral:piRNA from 1 species